GCUAACGCGAGAAGUUGACCGCCUGGGGAGUACGGCCGCAAGGUUAAAACUCAAAGGAAUUGACGGGGACCCGCACAAGCGUAGAUGUGGAUUAAUUCGAUGCAACGCGAAAAACCUUACCUGCUCUUGACAUGUACCGAAUGCCGAAGAGAUUUGGCAGUGCCCGAAAGGGAGCGGUAACACAGGUGCUGCAUGGCUGUCGUCAGCUCGUGUCGUGAGAUGUUGGGUUAAGUCCCGCAACGAGCGCAACCCUUGUCAUUAGUUGCCAUCAUUAAGUUGGGCACUCUAAUGAGACUGCCGGUGACAAACCGGAGGAAGGUGGGGAUGACGUCAAGUCCUCAUGGCCCUUAUGAGCAGGGCUUCACACGUCAUACAAUGGUCGGUACAGAGGGUGGAAGCCGCGAGGUGGAGCCAAUCUCAAAAAACCGAUCGUAGUCCGGAUCGCACUCUGCAACUCGAGUGCGGAAGUCGGACGCUUAUGAGU
rnacentral:rRNA from 1 species